UGGGUCCCCAGAUGUUGUUGGACUACAACUCCCAUCAUCCCUGAGCUCUGGCCUUGCUAGCUAGGGAUGAUGGGAGUUGUAGUUCAACAACAUCUGGGGACCCA
rnacentral:miRNA from 1 species